rnacentral:rRNA from 1 species
UACGGAGGGUGCAAGCGUUGUUCGGAAUUAUUGGGCGUAAAGGGCAGGUAGGUGGUCUGAUAAGUCUACUGUGAAAUCCCCGGGCUUAACUCGGGAAGUGCGGUGGAUACUGUCAGACUAGAGUGCUGGAGGGGUGCGUGGAAUUCCCGGUGUAGCGGUGAAAUGCGUAGAUAUCGGGAAGAACACCAACGGCGAAAGCACUCUGCUGGGACGAAAAACUGACACUGAUAGACGAAAGCUAGGGGAGCAAAUGGG